AAAAAAACCACCGGCUAACUACGUGCCAGCAGCCGCGGUAAUACGUAGGGUGCAAGCGUUGUCCGGAAUUACUGGGCGUAAAGAGUUCGUAGGCGGUUUGUCGCGUCGUUUGUGAAAACCAGCAGCUCAACUGCUGGCUUGCAGGCGAUACGGGCAGACUUGAGUACUGCAGGGGAGACUGGAAUUCCUGGUGUAGCGGUGAAAUGCGCAGAUAUCAGGAGGAACACCGGUGGCGAAGGCGGGUCUCUGGGCAGUAACUGACGCUGAGGAACGAAAGCGUGGGUAGCGAACAGGAUUAGAUACCCUGGUAGUCCACGCCGUAAACGGUGGGCGCUAGGUGUGGGUUCCUUCCACGGAAUCCGUGCCGUAGCUAACGCAUUAAGCGCCCCGCCUGGGGAGUACGGCCGCAAGGCUAAAACUCAAAGGAAUUGAC
rnacentral:rRNA from 1 species